UUGGUUACGUUUGGAUUUGGUGGAAAGCUUGUAGUAAUGAAAGAUGGUGGUUCAAGUUCUCUGGGGAACACAUCAUUUGGAAGUCAGGCACCUGUAGGAGGCUCAAUAUCUGUUCUGAAUUUGAUGGAGGUUAUAUCGGGAAAUACCAACAAUGCUACAAAUAUUAGAGGGAGCACUUGUAAUUAUUUUCGUGCUCUCUGGCAACAAUCAUUUCCAGGUCCACUGGUGGGAGGC
rnacentral:misc_RNA from 1 species